rnacentral:lncRNA from 1 species
GCAGAGACUACUCAGAGACCAGGGACUGGGUAGCUGUGUAAAAGCUUUGACUGGAUUCAGACGAAAUGGAUAAUUCCCCUGCCCCGAGUUCCCUUCUUUGGAUUUACUUCUGAGGCUUGUUCAUCCAUGCUAAGACUAGGCUUACCAAGAGCACAGAUCAACGAGACCAAUAUGGUGAGUGUCCAGUAAUGCAUUAACGAUAGUCUGCUUUUUUUCAAGCCGUUUUCCUCUGUGGAUGUCCUUCUGCUUUAAUAGUACAUUCAACACUACAGCUACAGCAUAAGUAGCACCAAUUUUAAGGACAGAUGUUUUUGAG